AUUCCUAACCCUAAACUUCCCUGCCUCAGCCGAAAUCCCCUUUCCCCCCAAAACAGCAGCAAACACACAACACACUCAGAAGCAGCAGUAACGCUGCAAUGAGAAAGAAAAGAAACAGAAAGGGAGAUCUGAGAGACGAAAGGUUCAGAGAGGAGGGAGACGCCGUCGUCUUUGUCGCCGGAGCCGCAAGGAGCGUCGCUGCCGAAGCCACGCCAUUCGUUCCUGCCUAGUGGCGGUUCUGCCAUCCAUCACCCUGUUCCGUCGCCUGAGGAGAAUCACGAAGACGAGAGAGAGCUCGUGCGCGAAGGGAGCGCACAGGGGAGAAGAAGGAGGCGCUGCUUGGCCGCCGCACCUCGCCGCCGUCGCUGGAGAUCUGGGAGUCACCGUCGAUCGUCAUUGAGCCGUGCCGGACACAGAACUGCGAACGAGAGGGAUGCGAUGCAGGAGCUUGAUGCGAGAAAGAGGGAGCGCGCGUGCGCGCGCAUGGGAAGGGCGGCGCUGCUGUCACCGCCGUUGCUGAGCUGCCGUCGCCGCUGAGAAGGCUCCGCCACUGCCCUUGUUGCUGAUGGGGAGAAGGAGACCGGAAUGGGUAAGUAGGAAGAGGGGUUUCUGCCACUGUUGGAACUCCAUUGCUAUUGUUGUCAUGGCCGCCGCGCCUUUGGCUGCCGGGAGCGGUAUUGUGGCCGCCAGAACCUUUGCUUGAGCCAUGCCGUUUGGAGCGGUCGUUCCUCUUUUGUUACGCUGCUAUUAUCACAGAUUCAGGCCGCCGCCGUCACUCGAAAAUUAUUGAUGGAGCUGCUGCCGGGUCGAUUUGGAGUUGCGGCUGCUUCGCUUUGUUAUUUCAGAGUUAGAAUCCGAGUUUACUUAUGGCGUUUGAAGCUGUUUCUGCUAUUAAGAAAGCAUGCAGAGCUCAGGUUUCGGUUGCGGUUAAUUUCGGGCUGAGCAAAAAGAGUUAAACUGACACGUUGGGUUAUGGUUUCGCUUAUUGAUGUAGGGGCCUUUUCAAAAAACCACAUUUUAUGAAUUAGAAUUAUUAUAUAUGGAUAUUGACAUGAGAAAAUAUAUCUUUGAGUGAUUGUAUAAGUCUUAUGUAAUUGUUGGUUAUUUUGGAUGAAUACGAAUGCUUGGUUGAUUUGAUUAUUAUUUGGUUUUGUGAAACGAAUGGUUUUGAAGUGUUUCUUUAAAGUCACUUCUUUAAAACUUUGAAAUCAAGUUUAAUCCGUUAAAAAUUGACUUGAGCUUGAUUUGGUUUUUUUGAAAUAUGAAAAUGGAAUGUAUCUUUGGAUUCGGUCGGAUUUUGAGCUGAUUUUGUUUUGAACCAUUUAAAGAGGGUUGUAGAUUGGUUUGGAUGGGACCCAGAAAGGGUGGCAAAGUCCAAGUUUUAGGUGAAGUGCUGCCAAAAUUCUGAUAGAAUCUGAGACUUUAUUGAAAUGUUAUUUGGAAAAUUAUGAGUUAAAGACUUCUACUUUUUUAUUUGGAUUAUUUAGGAAAGGGAUGACUUAUGCAUUUGAAAUGAAUUAUUAAAAAGGAAAUUAUGAUUUAGUCUUGUUUCUUAAGAAAAGUAUUGUAUCUCUUUUGGGAGCAAGUUAUUUAGAUGGAACUUAUGUUUUAAGGCUGUUUUAUAUGUGAAAAAGGGUUUAUGUCUUUGAAUUUGAAUUGAGGGUUUCAAUUGGAGGAGUUUCAGUGACUUUGAAGGAACCUGAAUGUCUAUUGACAAGUUUUAUUUUACAAUGUUUUGGGAAAAAGUUUUAAGUACUCUUUGAAUUUUGAAUUUUUGCAAGACAAACAAUGUUUGAGCAGUUUGGAACACUUUAGAUUUAAUCAUGGAAUUGAAGCUGAUUUUGCUUAAGUAAAGGAAAUGGUUUUGAAAGGGGUAAUUGAUUACACGACUCGGUUUGGCUUAGAUUCUAUUUUUUUU